GACGAACGCUGGCGGCGUGCUUAACACAUGCAAGUCGAACGAAGCUUGAUUACGGAUUCUUCGGAUGAAGUAUGAUAUGACUGAGUGGCGGACGGGUGAGUAACGCGUGAGUAACCUGCCCUUCAGAGGGGGAUAGCGUUUGGAAACGAACGGUAAUACCGCAUAAUGUAUUUUGACCGCAUGAUCGAAAUACCAAAGAUUUAUCGCUGAAGGAUGGACUCGCGUCUGAUUAGGUAGUUGGUGGGGUAACGGCCUACCAAGCCGACGAUCAGUAGCCGGACUGAGAGGUUGAUCGGCCACAUUGGGACUGAGACACGGCCCAGACUCCUACGGGAGGCAGCAGUGUGGAAUAUUGCACAAUGGGCGCAAGCCUGAUGCAGCAACGCCGCGUGAAGGAAGACGGUUUUCGGAUUGUAAACUUCUGUUCUUAGUGAAGAAUAAUGACGGUAGCUAAGGAGCAAGCCACGGCUAACUACGUG
rnacentral:rRNA from 1 species